rnacentral:rRNA from 1 species
AUGGGGGAUGUAAGCCAUGAGCCAAUGCUGGAGUACUAUCAUAUUGCCAACAAGAUGUUUAAUAGUGAGGAUGAAGGUUAUAAAUUCUAUAACAAAUAUGGUCUUGAGAAAGGUUUUAGUGUCCGGAGAAGCUAUGUCGAGUGGGAUGGAUCCAACUGCCAUAUAAUUUUAAGGAAAUUUGUGUGUAGUCGUGAAGGGGUUCGUGAAGAGAAGCAAAUGAAGAGGAAGAUGGAAGAUAGAAAGAGGAGGCCACGGAGUAUAACUCGUGUAGGGUGUAAAUCUAAAUUGAUGAUUGCAAGACAGGAGGAAACAGGUCAGUGGUUUGUGAAGGAUUUCAUCGAUGAACACAACCAUCCUCUAGCCCCACGGGAUCUGUCGUGUCUUUUGCGUUCACACGGAAGAAUUAGCGAUGAGCAGAAAGCGGACAUUGCAGACAUGGAAAAAUCAGGGAUCAGGAAACACCAUAUUAUCGAUAUUUUGUUCAUGCAAUACGGUGGAUAUGAUGAGGUUGGAUGCACAAUGAGGGACAUUUGCAAUUUCUGCCAUGCUAACAAGCAGGAAUCAAUCUCUUCCGGGGAUGCUCAAAUGGUUAUCAAUCACAUGGUGGCGCGGCGAGAGCGAGAUUCAAAUUUUUUUCUUCAGGUACUUGGUUGA